CCUCCAAACCUCUAAGUCGCCAAACCACCGCACCGCCCUGGGUGGAAGAAACCGCUUCGGCAGCAGAGGAAACAACAGCUUCGCAGAGCAGCCUGGCCCGAGUGGCUACACAGGGCCUGUCUGGUCUCAGCUCUGGCCUCUGAGUCAUUAGCGUUGUUUUCUUCUGAGGCCAGGGUUUCAGAUUAGUCAGGGGCUCCCGUUUCCUGGCUGAUGAAGCAGGUGGAAGAAACACAAUCUGGCCGCCCAGAGGCUGCGUGAAGCUCGUGACCUUGCAGGGUGACUACUGGAGCUCAGCUGGGUGGGACAAGAACCACGUCUGGGCACUCCUGAGUCACAGGCACAGGAGCCUUUGCCUCUGCCUUCAGGCUGGCCCUCAGGCUUCCUUGCUCAGAGGCAGGGAAUUGUGCAGCCGGAGUUUCAUUUUCCAAGAGGCAGGGUCUCAGUCUGUCACCCAGGCUGGAGUACAGUGGCACCAUCUUGGCUCACUGUAGCCUCGACCUGGGCUCAAGUGAGCCUCCUACCUCAGCCUCCCAAAAUGCUGGGAUUACAAGCAUGAACCACUGUGACUUGCCUUCUUGGCAAUUUUAAAUGAAAGAAGAAGAUGGAAUAAUGCCUACUGAGGACUAUGUUUGAGGGGUGUUGUAUGACCCUGUUUUCCAUACCCAGCCAACUUGUCACUCAUGUGACAAGUCCACAGAAAGAUGUUAUAUGGCCAGGAAUCUAUGAACUAUGUCGUUCAUUCAGUCUUCCCUAAAUGUACCUGACUACAGCUAACAUCAUAUCACAUGAUGAAAGACCACGUUGUUUUCCCCUGAGGUUGGCACAAACUCCAGCAGGCCCCAAACGAGCUGAGAAAAAUAUCCAACUUCAAACGUUUUGCACAGAUCAUCUUAAAGGCUCAAUCUAAGCCUGGGAAAGCCGGAACGAAGCCCAGAAAUCACUCCUUAUUUCAUCGCCGUUUAGCCAAGACAGCUUUCCUGUCCACAGGUCACAUCUGUCACUGCCCCCUUACUGCCCCUGCCCAGGUCCCAACCACCUUGAGACACCUGCGUGAUCCACCCUCAAAGCAAUGAGUUAGGAGCCGCACUCCUGGUCCUUGGCCGGUGGCUUUAGUGUUAUUCCGGGGGGCUGGCUGGGGGCACCUGUGGGGGCUGCCCCGUGAGGGCUGUGGUUUAAUUUCCUUUGCUACUUUCCUUAGCUCUUCAGUCUCAGUCUCAGCCACUGAAAUGUGUCUUGGCCACUGGUGGUGCAGCACAGGGUGACACUGUUGUCAGCGAGAGGAAGAUGCCUUUUUUUUUUUUUUUUUUUUUGAGAUGGAGUUUUGCUCUGUUGCCCAGGCUGGAGUGCAGUGGCGCAAUCUUGGCUCACUGCAACCUCCACCUCCCGGAUUCAAGCGAUUCUCCUGUCUCAGCCUCAUGAGUAGCUGGGAUUACAGGCACCCACCACCAUGCCCAGCUAAUUUUUGUAUUCUUAGUAGAGACGGGGUUUUGCCAUAUUGGCCAGGCUGGUGUCGAACUCCUGACCUCAGGCUGUCCACCUGCCUUGGGCUCCCAAAGUGCUGGGAUUAUAGGCAUGAGCCACUGUGCCCAGACAGGAAGAUGCAUUUGUGAGGCGGGACAAUUGUGAGUGGAAAGAGAAGAAAAAAAGUAAAAUAAUAAUACUAAUAAUGCCUUUUCUCUGGUCCUGGAAGAUCUAUACGAACUUGUAUUUUACAUCUCUUGUCUGGAUUUAGCUGUGAAAGACCAGUAGACCAACUAGUAGGAAAAAUACUUGCAUGGCAGCAGGUUGUUUGAAUAAAAUAGGAGAUUUCCAGUCUCA